rnacentral:rRNA from 1 species
GAUGAACGCUGGCGGCGUGCCUAAUACAUGCAAGUCGAGCGAACAGACGAGGAGCUUGCUCCUCUGACGUUAGCGGCGGACGGGUGAGUAACACGUGGAUAACCUACCUAUAAGACUGGGAUAACUUCGGGAAACCGGAGCUAAUACCGGAUAAUAUAUUGAACCGCAUGGUUCAAUAGUGAAAGACGGUUUUGCUGUCACUUAUAGAUGGAUCCGCGCCGCAUUAGCUAGUUGGUAAGGUAACGGCUUACCAAGGCAACGAUGCGUAGCCGACCUGAGAGGGUGAUCGGCCACAUUGGAACUGAGACACGGUCCAGACUCCUACGGGAGGCAGCAGUAGGGAAUCUUCCGCAAUGGGCGAAAGUCUGACGGAGCAACGCCGCGUGAGUGAUGAAGGUCUUCGGAUCGUAAAACUCUGUUAUUAGGGAAGAACAAAUGUGUAAGUAACUAUGCACGUCUUGACGGUACCUAAUCAGAAAGCCACGGCUAACUACGUG